GGGGCGGUAGCUCAGUUGGGAGAGCGCUAGAAUCGCACUCUAGAGGUCGGGAGUUCGAAUCUCCUCCGCUCCA
rnacentral:tRNA from 1 species